rnacentral:rRNA from 1 species
GAUGAACGCUGGCGGCAUGCCAAGACAUGCAAGUCGAACGAAGUGGCAGACGGGUGAGUAACACGUGGGUAACCUACCUUCAAGCUGGGGAUAACAGUUGGAAACGACUGAUAAUACCGAAUACUUAAAGAUGGGCCUGCGGCGUAUUAACUAGUUGGUGAGGUAAUGGCUCACCAAGGUAACGAUGCGUAGCCGAACUGAGAGGUUGAUCGGCCACACUGGGACUGAGACACGGCCCAGACUCUACGGGAGACAGCAGUUAGGAAUAUUCGUCAAUGGGGGAAACCCUGAACGAGCAAUGCCGCGUGAGUGAUGAAGGCCCUAUGGUUGUAAAACUCUGUUGUAUGGGAAGCGGUACCAUACCAGAAAGCUCCGGCUAACUACGUGCCAGCAGCCGCGGUAAUACGUAGGGAGCGAGCGUUAUCCGGAUUUAUUGGGCGUAAAGCGUGCGUAGGCGGCUUAUUAAGUUUAAGAUAAAAGCCCGGGGCUCAACUCCGGUUCGUCUUAAAAACUGGUAGGCUUGAGUGUGGUAGAGGUAAAUGGAAUUUCUAGUGUAGCGGUGAAAUGCGUAGAUAUUAGAAGGAACACCAGUGGCGAAGGCGAUUUACUGGGCCAUAACUGACGCUGAGGCACGAAAGCGUGGGGAGCAAAUAGGAUUAGAUACCCUAGUAGUCCACGCCGUAAACGAUGAGUACUAAGUGUUGGCAGUGCUGAAGCUAACGUAUUAAGUACUCCGCCUGAGUAGUACGGUCGCAAGGUGCAGCUCAAA